rnacentral:lncRNA from 1 species
UGAGUUCAAGUGUUUCAGUUGAGGCCGAGAUAAAUCCUACUGUAGCUGUCACUCCCAUGUCAUUGCCUCCACCUGUUUCAAUUGCUGAGAUAAAUCCUACUAUAGCUGUCACUCCCAUGUCACUGCCUCCACCUGAAAACAACUCACUCCAGAAAGCAAGUACUGAAACUAACAAGUGUGAACCAAUCAUUGAAGAACCAGCAACGCCAGAACAAGAGUUCACAGAGCUUUCGCAAAGUGACAUUGAGGACUUAUUCUACGAGGAUCCUGACGAGAUUCC